rnacentral:tRNA from 1 species
GGCCCCGUAGCUCAGUUGGAUAGAGCAUCAGAUUCCUAAUCUGAGGGUCGCAGGUUCGAAUCCUGCCGGGGUCACCA